rnacentral:rRNA from 1 species
GAAGGACCCAAGCGUUAUCCGGAUUUAUUGGGUUUAAAGGGUGCGUAGGCGGGUUAUUAAGUCAGUGGUGAAAGCUCCGAGCCCAACUCGGAAAUUGCCAUUGAUACUGAUGUAUCUGAGUACAUUUGAGGUGGGCGGAAUGUGUCAUGUAGCGGUGAAAUGCUUAGAGAUGACACAGAACACCGAUUGCGAAGGCAGCUCACUAAACUGUAACUGACGCUGAGGCACGAAAGCGUGGGGAGCAAACAGGAUUAGAUACCCUGGUAGUCCACGCCCUAAACGAUGAUCACUCGAUGUGUGCGAUACACUGUACGCGUCGAGCGAAAGCAUUAAGUGAUCCACCUGGGGAGUACGGCCGCAAGGCUG